CCUACGGGGGGCAGCAGUGGGGAAUAUUGGGCAAUGGGCGAAAGCCUGACCCAGCAACGCCGCGUGAAGGAAGAAGGCUUUCGGGUUGUAAACUUCUUUUGACAGGGAAGAGCAGAAGACGGUACCUGUCGAAUAAGCCACGGCUAACUACGAGCCAGCAGCUGCGGUAAUACGUAGGUGGCAAGCGUUGUCCGGAUUUACUGGGUGUAAAGGGCGUGUAGCCGGGCUGACAAGUCAGAUGUGAAAUCCUGGGGCUCAACCCCCGAACUGCAGUUGAAACUGUUGGUCUUGAGUAUCGGAGAGGCAGGCGGAAUUCGUGGUGUAGCGGUGAAAUGCGUAGAUAUUAGGAGGAACACCAGUGGCGAAGGCAGCCUGCUGGACGACAACUGACGGUGAGGCGCGAAAGCGUGGGGAGCAAACAGGAUUAGAUACCCCGGUAGUC
rnacentral:rRNA from 1 species